AUAAACAUAGCAGAACGAAAGAGAACUCGUUGCAAGUGAUCAAGUUAUCAUUGGCUAGGAAAACGGUGCAAUUUAAAGUUGGAAUCCUGCCAAAUACAAAAUCGAAGCUGAUCUUGCGUGUGCUGAUCCUGCCAGAAGUCAAAUUUGACGGGACAAUAAAUUCAAGUGAAGAAUUAAGAGCAACCGGACUGACGGACUAAAAAAGGAUGGAUGAAAUAAAAUCGCGCGACUUUUUCAUCGCGAUGACCUAAAUGGCCACGGAUAGGACUAAAUGUUUCUCGCGAUAAUAAAAUGUCGUUUUUACUAUGAUUUUUAUCCUUUCAUAAAUAUUACAUAACGAUAGUAACGCUUACACAAAAUAGAAUUGAAUUUUGCAUUAUAUUAAAUGCAUGUAAUUUUUUUUACGCUUGCAAUUAACAUCAUGGAAAAUCAACUAUUAUAAUACAAAUAAAUUAUUGAAUAUUCAAGGCUUCCGUUUGUUAGGUAUUAUAAUUCAAAUGAAAUAUACUAAGCAAUUCUUUUACAUAUAAAACUUAAUGAACUAAAAUGAAUGAACUCAUAUCGUUAUUUUCCAAUGCAAGCUCAAUCGUAUCAUUUCAAUGAAAUUGGAUAAUUUUCGUGCAUAGCAUCGA
rnacentral:misc_RNA from 1 species